UACGUAGGGCGCAAGCGUUGUCCGGAAUUAUUGGGCGUAAAGAGCUCGUAGGCGGCUUGUCACGUCGGGUGUGAAAGCCCGGGGCUUAACCCCGGGUCUGCAUUCGAUACGGGCUAGCUAGAGUGUGGUAGGGGAGAUCGGAAUUCCUGGUGUAGCGGUGAAAUGCGCAGAUAUCAGGAGGAACACCGGUGGCGAAGGCGGGUCUCUGGGCCGAAAUUGACGCUGAGGAGCGAAAGCGUGGGGAGCAAACAGG
rnacentral:rRNA from 1 species